GGUAGGGUAUUGGCCUACCGUGGCAAUGACGGGUAACGGGGAAUUAGGGUUCGAUUCCGGAGAGGGAGCCUGAGAAACGGCUACCACAUCUAAGGAAGGCAGCAGGCGCGCAAAUUACCCAAUCCUAAUACAGGGAGGUAGUGACAAGAAAUAACAAUACAGGACUUUUUGGUUUUGUAAUUGGAAUGAGUUAAGUAUAAACCCCUUUACAAGUAUCAAUUGGAGGGCAAGUCUGGUGCCAGCAGCCGCGGUAAUUCCAGCUCCAAUAGCGUAUAUUAAAGUUGUUGCAGUUAAAAAGCUCGUAGUUGGAUUUCUGUUAAUAAUUUAUAUAAAAUAUUUUGAUGAAUAUUUAUAUAAUAUUAACAUAAUUCAUAUUACUAUAUUUUUUAGUAUAUGAAAUUUUACUUUGAGAAAAUUAGAGUGCUUAAAGCAGGCAUAUGCCUUGAAUACUCCAGCAUGGAAUAAUAUUAAAGAUUUUUAUCUUUCUUAUUGGUUCUAAGAUAAGAAUAAUGAUUAAUAGGGACAGUUGGGGGCAUUUGUAUUUAACAGUCAGAGU
rnacentral:rRNA from 1 species